rnacentral:rRNA from 1 species
UACAGAGGUGGCAAGCGUUGUUCGGAAUUACUGGGCGUAAAGGGCGCGUAGGCGGCUUUUUAAGUCAGACGUGAAAUCCCCGGGCUCAACCCGGGAACUGCGUCCGAUACUGGCUGGCUUGAAUCCGGGAGAGGGAUGCGGAAUUCCAGGUGUAGCGGUGAAAUGCGUAGAUAUCUGGAGGAACACCGGUGGCGAAGGCGGCAUCCUGGACCAACACUGACACUGAUGAGCGAAAGCCAGGGGAGCAAACGGG